UACGUAGGGUGCGAGCGUUAAUCGGAAUUACUGGGCGUAAAGCGUGCGCAGGCGGUUCGUUGUGUCGGCGGUGAAAGCCCCGGGCUCAACCUGGGAAUGGCCGUUGAAACUGGCGAACUGGAGUGUGGCAGAGGGGGUGGAAUUCCGCGUGUAGCAGUGAAAUGCGUAGAGAUGCGGAGGAACACCGAUGGCGAAGGCAGCCUCCUGGGCCGACACUGACGCUCAUGCACGAAAGCGUGGGGAGCAAACAGG
rnacentral:rRNA from 1 species